UGGAGUUCUAGUUAUUAUAAGCUAUCGUCGUCAUUCGUUUGUGCCUAUGGCAAGAAAUAUAUCAUGAAACUGUGAACUGCUGUGAUGUUAUGAAGAUACGAAAUAAAAAUACCAUAUCGCGUCCCUCAUCGUGGGACUUUUGUUUAAUCUCAGCGGCAUAUUCUUUACAAGGGGUAUCCGACAGAGUUCUUCAUCUCAAGUAAAAUAACAAAUAUACACCAAGGUAACAUACAAAAAUGCCCAAUUAACCCGGAAGUCAAGAAACUGAUUUUAUCAGAAUGUUUGUAUCACAAUGCGAUCUUUUGCGCUUCUUGUUCCACGGCACCAAAACUUAAAAAUUUAUUCGAUUAUUUAUAAAGAUUGGUUGUUUUUAGUGCAUGAAUGUAUACGAAAUAUAUUAAAAUAAAUAAAUAUUAGAUCAAA